rnacentral:tRNA from 1 species
GGAGGAGUACCCAAGUCCGGCUGAAGGGGAUAGUCUCGAAAACUAUUAGGCUUUCUAAGUGCGAGAGUUCAAAUCUCUCCUCCUCCGCCA